rnacentral:rRNA from 1 species
ACGGCUCAGUAACACGUGGAUAACCUGCCCUUGGGUCCGGCAUAACCCCGGGAAACUGGGGAUAAUUCCGGAUAACGCAUAUAUGCUGGAAUGCUUUAUGCGUCAAAUGGAUUCGUCUGCCCAAGGAUGGGUCUGCGGCCUAUCAGGUAGUAGUGGGUGUAAUGUACCUACUAGCCAACAACGGGUACGGGUUGUGAGAGCAAGAGCCCGGAGAUGGAUUCUGAGACAUGAAUCCAGGCCCUACGGGGCGCAGCAGGCGCGAAAACUUUACAAUGCGGGAAACCGUGAUAAGGGGACACCGAGUGCCAGCAUCAUAUGCUGGCUGUCCAGGUGUGUAAAAUACACCUGUUAGCAAGGGCCGGGCAAGACCGGUGCCAGCCGCCGCGGUAACACCGGCGGCCCGAGUGGUGAUCGUGAUUAUUGGGUCUAAAGGGUCCGUAGCCGGUUUGGUCAGUCCUCCGGGAAAUCUGAUAGCUCAACUAUUAGGCUUUCGGGGGAUACUGCCAGGCUUGGAACCGGGAGAGGUAAGAGGUACUACAGGGGUAGGAGUGAAAUCUUGUAAUCCCUGUGGGACCACCUGUGGCGAAGGCGUCUUACCAGAACGGGUUCGACGGUGAGGGACGAAAGCUGGGGGCACGAACCGGAUUAGAUACCCGGGUAGUCCCAGCCGUAAACGAUGCCCGCUAGGUGUCAGGCAUGGCGCGACCGUGUCUGGUGCCGCAGGGAAGCCGUGAAGCGAGCCACCUGGGAAGUACGGCCGCAAGGCUGAAACUUAAAGGAAUUGGCGGGGGAGCAC